CAGGCACUCCAGUACGCUGGCUCCCCAGACACUGACUCCUCUGCCUCAGAACCGGUGGCAUACCGGAGGAGAUUCAUAUAGCCGGGAUGAACAUCACGGUUUGCAAAUCUACGGAACUCCGUCGCCUGAGAUGGGACUGGUUUUGGAUAAUCCAUGGGCCAGACAUCACCAACUUACCUUUCCCUGAUGGCUCUGAUGCUGCUUAGGGUGGAAUAAAGGAACAAACAUCAGAAUACCAGGAGAGCCGAGCACGCACGGAGUCGAAGCGAUGGCGAGGCGAGAGAGAGUGAGAGCGAGCGCUGGCGUCCCC